CAUCACUGACAUUAAAACUAAAGUUAUUGAAUUGAAAAUGUAUCAAUUUUCAUUUUGGUAUACACCAUUCGAGAACUGACAUUCCAUUCACGAACAUUAAAUCCUGGAGCAAAACAUGCGAUUCAUAUCCGUUGAAUUGUCUCCCCUGCACACUCGAAUACCGUGCUUUAAGGGGGAAAAGGAAAGAAUUUCAAUGAUCAUUAGGUACUCAUCAAAACUUCCAUACACAACAUUAUGUAUUUCAGCCGUCUACAGGAAAUUUUGCGCUAUCCGGCGUGAAAUUGCAGGCCCUUUAUGGGCUAGGUUUACAGCAGUAUUGCUGCAUGAAAAUCAUACUGUACCUCUUUUAUUGAAACUAGGCUUUCAAAGAAUUUACAUGUCGUACUAUUGAUCGAGUUCUACGUAUUCAAAGUAUUUCAAUAUGUUCCAUUCCCGUUGUCCCUUGAACAUCACUGACAUUAAAACUAAAGUUAUUGAAUUGAAAAUGUAUCAAUUUUCAUUUUGGUAUACACCAUUCGAGAACUGACAUUCCAUUCAUGAACAUUAAAUCCUGGAGCAAAACAUGCGAUUCAUAUCCGUUGAAUUGUCUCCCCUGCACACUCGAAUACCGUGCUUUAAGGGGGAAAAGGAAAGAAUUUCAAUGAUCAUUAGGUACUCAUCAAAAUUUCCAUACACAACAUUAUGUAUUUCAGCCGUCUACAGGAAAUUGUGCGCUAUCCGGCGUGAAAUUGCAGGCCCUUUAUGGGCUAGGUUUACAGCAGUAUUGCUGCAUGAAAAUCAUACUGUACCUGUUUUAUUGGAACCCGCCUUUAGUAUAUCAGAUGAUAUAUGUGGCAAUGCUAGCAUACUUACCUGGUACAGGGGCUACCGUGAUCAGGAACGGCGGUGCCCCCAGGUCGAGGCCUAACCAUUGCACUCCGGUCGGGCUGAACCCUGCGAUAAUCCCAAAUGCGGAUUACUCGGGUACGCUAUUUUUUAGUGUGGGGGUCUGCGUUCGCGCUAACCCCUGUU